GAUGAAGAACGUAGUGAAAUGCGAUACUUGGUGUGAAUUGCAGAAUCCCGUGAACCAUCGAGUCUUUGAACGCAAGUUGCGCCUCAAGCCAUUAGGUUGAGGGCACGUCUGCCUGGGCGUCACAUAUCGUUGCCUGAUGCCAGUUUCCUCGUGAUGGGUGACUGUGCAGGGCGAAUGAUGGCUUCCCGUGAGCAUUGUUGCCUCAUGGUUGGUUGAAAAUUGAGUCCUUGGUAGGGAGCGCCGUGAUAGAUGGUGGUUGAGUGACGAACGAGACCCAAUCAUGUGAGACCCCUACCGAAUUUGGCCUUCAUGACCCACAUGCGUCUUUGGAACGCUCAUGACGAGACCUCAGGUCAGGCGGGGCUACCCGCUGAGUUUAAGCAUAUCAGUAAGCGGAGGA
rnacentral:misc_RNA from 1 species